ensembl:snRNA U6 U6 spliceosomal RNA
GUGCUCCCUUCGGCAGCACAUAUACUAAAAUUGGAACGAUACAGAGAAGAUUAGCAUGGCCCCUGAGCAAGGAUAUCCCUGUCCUCUGGAAGACAGUCCAGUAAAAA